AAUAUUGGUCGAUGGCCGAAUGUCUGAUCCAUCCCUGCCGCCUGUGUGAAGAAGGCCUGCGGAUCGUAAAGCACUCUAUGUUGGGAGGAAGGUCAGUACGGCAAUACGUUGCUGUAUUGACGUUACCCACCUAAUAAGGACCGGCUAACUUCGUUCCAGCCGCCGCGGUAAUUCGAACGGUGCAAGCGUUAAUCGGAAUUACUGGGCGUAAAGCGGGCGUAGGUGGUUUGUUAAGUUGGAAGUGAAAGCCCCGGGCUCAACCUGGGAACUGCUUUCAAAACUGGCAAGCUAGAGGAUGGCAGAGGGUGGUGGAAUUUCCUGUGUAGCGGUGAAAUGCGUAGAUAUAGGAAGGAACACCAGUGGCGAAGGCGACCACCUGGGCUAAUACUGACACUGAGGUGCGAAAGCGUGGGGAGCAAACA
rnacentral:rRNA from 1 species